rnacentral:rRNA from 1 species
GUAACACGUAGUCAACCUGCCCUAGAGACACGGACAACCCCGGGAAACUGGGAUUAAUCCGUGAUAGGUCAUCUCAUCUGGAAGGAGAGAUGGCUUAAAGGGGCGCGCGGGCUUCUUCCGCGUAUUCGCUCUAGGAUGGGACUGCGUCCGAUCAGGCUGUUGGCGGGGUAAUGGCCCACCAAACCUGUAACCGGUACGGGCCUUGAGAGAGGUGGCCCGGAGAUGGACACUGAGAGAAGGGUCCAGGUCCUACGGGGCGCAGCAGGCGCGAAACCUUCGCAAUGCGCGAAAGCGUGACGAGGUUAAUCCGAGUGGUCCCCGCUGAGGGGAUCUUUUGUCAGCUGUAAAUAGGCAGGCGAAUAAGGGGAGGGCAAGCCUGGUGUCAGCCGCCGCGGUAAUACCAGCUCCUCGAGUGGUCGGGGCGAUUAUUGGGCCUAAAGCAUCCGUAGCCGGUUCCGUAGGUCCUCUGUUAAAUCCACCCGCUUAACGGGUGACCUGCAGAGGAUACCGCGGGACU